GACGAACGCUGGCGGCGUGCCUAAUACAUGCAAGUAGAACGCUGAAGAGAGGAGCUUACUCUUCUUGGAUGAGUUGCGAACGGGUGAGUAACGCGUAGGUAACCUGCCUUGUAGCGGGGGAUAACUAUUGGAAACGAUAGCUAAUACCGCAUAACAAUGGAUGACACAUGUCAUUUAUUUGAAAGGGGCAAUUGCUCCACUACAAGAUGGACCUGCGUUGUAUUAGCUAGUAGGUGAGGUAAUGGCUCACCUAGGCGACGAUACAUAGCCGACCUGAGAGGGUGAUCGGCCACACUGGGACUGAGACACGGCCCAGACUCCUACGGGAGGCAGCAGUAGGGAAUCUUCGGCGAUGGGGGCAACCCUGACCGAGCAACGCCGCGUGAGUGAAGAAGGUUUUCGGAUCGUAAAGCUCUGUUGUAAGUCAAGAACGGGUGUGAGAGUGGAAAGUUCACACUGUGACGGUAGCUUACCAGAAAGGGACGGCUAACUACGUG
rnacentral:rRNA from 1 species